UUUUGCCUUAAGUUAUCCAGAUGUUGUGUGGUGAGGUGAAGGAUUCCAACAGUUUUGUUCGUUGAGAAAAGCAGAAUCCUUUUUUUUUUUCAUUAACAAUGAGAAUGAAUUUUCCUAUUCCAUCAAGAUUUCUAUGUGGCCAUCUCUUCAGGACAUAGGUAUCAGCUACUGUUUUAAAUUUAGGAAAUGCACACACAUAUGCAACCAACCACAUAAUGUUUCCAAAGCAAUAUAUUGAGAUUGAUACAAAUACACAUUUUUCAAGAAUCCUGGACUAAUCCCACACUACUCUGAGCCGCCUUUACUUUUUAAGCCUCUUUAUUUCUAUUAUAUGACUGUGAACUAAGUAGAUUUAACUUUUGUAUGCUUUUAAAAUCAGUUAUAUUUUCUGAUAUGUGAUAACAAAUAUACUGUGUAUUUCAUUGAAACGUAUAGGAAAACUGCUCUUUUUUUCCUUUUAAAAUCAAUGCCUAUGGUAUAGUCAACAAAGUAUUUAAUGAGUGGCUAUUUUGAGCCAUUUUUAAUUGGCUGGACUACUGCAGACAUACCAUUUUAAAUGAUUACACAUAUGUCUAGAGAAUCAGCAUAGGAUUUUUGUUUUCCCUUUGAGAUUGAACAAUUUUUAUUUCAUCAUUACUAAAACUUAGCUGACAAUUUUUAUUUUUUCAUUACUAAAACUUAGCUGGAUGUCAGUUUCUGCCUUUAAAUAAAAUAUCCAAAUCCAGGAUUAUUCUCAAUUGCAAAAAUGCAGCUGGUCUCAACUAUUCCUUUUAUAUUUUCUUUCACAUAGGGUAGAAAAUGGUGAAUCAUUGUACUUUCAUAUAAUAAAAAGAUGUCUUGAAUUUUAAAUGUAAUUGUCCUUUCUUGAGUAACUUCUAAAUGAAGUGAAACCACAAAGGCAGUUUGGCACACUAUUGAUUCUAUCCUGGUUAUCUUUUUUGUCAGGCUAGAAUGUGAAGGGAAAG
rnacentral:lncRNA from 1 species